rfam:Myotis davidii contig49012, whole genome shotgun sequence.
GGCAGUUCUUAGGUGACACACCCCAGAAUUGGGCUCCCUCCUCUCUGGUUCCAGGUGCGUCACCCAAGAACUGCA